AACGCAACUUGCGCCAUAGUAUGGCAUGUCUGUUUGAGUGCCGCAACAACGUGUAAUGCGUAUUGAUGGUUGUCCGCUGGGGACUCUGUCUAAAUGCAGCCAGUAAUGUCGUGGACUGUGGUAGUCCGAGUGCCAAGCAUUCUUGGUCUAGAUGCGGUUACGGCCGAGGGGGCUAGUGGUGGAUGAUUGUGUGCAAACCGUAUCGUCACCUCCUAUCCCCCCACCUACUACUGGCCUCAAAUCAGGCAGGAUUACCCGCUGAACUUAA
rnacentral:misc_RNA from 1 species